GUUGAAGGUGCUGGAUUUGAUGACGAGAAGUCACUCCUAAUGUCACAAAUGAGCCUGGAAAAAAGGUUUGGCCAGUCUGCUGUUUUUGUUGCUUCCACACUUAUGGAGAAUGGUGGUGUUCCUCAGUCUGCAACACCAGAGAAUCUUCUUAAAGAGGCUAUUCAUGUUAUCAGCUGUGGGUAUGAGGAUAAAACAGAUUGGGGAAGUGAGAUUGGAUGGAUUUAUGGUUCUGUUACAGAAGAUAUUCUCACUGGAUUUAAGAUGCAUGCACGUGGUUGGCGAUCAAUUUACUGCAUGCCGAAGCUUCCAGCCUUUAAAGGGUCUGCUCCAAUUAAUCUUUCAGAUCGUUUGAACCAAGUGCUUCGAUGGGCUUUAGGUUCUGUGGAAAUUCUUCUUAGUCGUCAUUGUCCCAUUUGGUAUGGUUAUGGUGGUAGAUUAAAAUGGCUCGAGAGGUUUGCAUAUGUAAACACCACCAUUUAUCCAGUCACAGCCAUUCCUCUUCUCGUGUACUGCACACUUCCAGCUGUUUGUCUACUUACGAACAAGUUCAUUAUUCCACAGAUUAGUAAUCUUGCAAGUAUCUGGUUUAUCUCUCUCUUUCUUUCAAUCUUUGCAACUGGCAUUUUGGAGAUGAGAUGGAGUGGCGUUGGAAUCGACGAAUGGUGGAGAAACGAACAGUUUUGGGUUAUUGGAGGAGUUUC
rnacentral:misc_RNA from 1 species